GACGAACGCUGGCGGCGUGCUUAACACAUGCAAGUCGAACGAUGAAGCCUAGCUUGCUAGGUGGAUUAGUGGCGAACGGGUGAGUAAUACGUGAGUAACCUACCUUUAACUCUGGGAUAAGCCUGGGAAACUGGGUCUAAUACCGGAUACGACCGAUCUCCGCAUGGGGUGUUGGUGGAAAGCGUUAUGUAGUGGUUAUAGAUGGGCUCACGGCCUAUCAGCUUGUUGGUGAGGUAACGGCUCACCAAGGCGACGACGGGUAGCCGGCCUGAGAGGGUGACCGGCCACACUGGGACUGAGACACGGCCCAGACUCCUACGGGAGGCAGCAGUGGGGGAUAUUGCACAAUGGGCGCAAGCCUGAUGCAGCGACGCCGCGUGAGGGAUGACGGCCUUCGGGUUGUAAACCUCUGUUAGCAGGGAAGAAGAGAAAUUGACGGUACCUGCAGAGAAAGCGCCGGCUAACUACGUGCCAGCAGCCGCGGUAAUACGUAGGGCGCGAGCGUUGUCCGGAAUUAUUGGGCGUAAAGAGCUUGUAGGCGGUUUGUCGCGUCUGCUGUGAAAGGCCGGGGCUUAACCCCGUGUAUUGCAGUGGGUACGGGCAGACUAGAGUGCAGUAGGGGAGACUGGAAUUCCUGGUGUAGCGGUGGAAUGCGCAGAUAUCAGGAGGAACACCGAUGGCGAAGGCAGGUCUCUGGGCUGUAACUGACGCUGAGAAGCGAAAGCAUGGGGAGCGAACAGG
rnacentral:rRNA from 1 species